rnacentral:tRNA from 1 species
GCGGACGUGGCGGAAUGGUAGACGCAGCAGACUUAAAAUCUGCUAUCCUUUCGGGUGUAUGGGUUCGAGUCCCAUCGUCCGCACCA